CCCUGCUGACUAGUUAGGUACAGGUGGUUGUGUCACCCUGCUGACUAGUUAGGUACAGGUGGUUGUGUAACCCUGCUGACUAGUUAGGUACAGGUGGUUGUGUCACCCUGCUGACUAGUUAGGUACAGGUGGUUGUGUAACCCUGCUGACUAGUUAGGUACAGGUGGUUGUGUCACCCUGCUGACUAGUUAGGUACAGGUGGUUGUGUCACCCUGCUGACUAGUUAGGUACAGGUGGUUGUGUAACCCUGCUGACUAGUUAGGUACAGGUGGUUGUGUCACCCUGCUGACUAGUUAGGUACAGGUGGUUGUGUAACCCUGCUGACUAGUUAGGUACAGGUGGUUGUGUCACCCUGCUGACUAGUUAGGUACAGGUGGUUGUGUAACCCUGCUGACUAGUUAGGUACAGGUGGUUGUGUCACCCUGCUGACUAGUUAGGUACAGGUGGUUGUGUCACCCUGCUGACUAGUUAGGUACAGGUGGUUGUGUCACCCUGCUGACUAGUUAGGUACAGGUGGU